rnacentral:rRNA from 1 species
UGGGCGUAAAGGGCUCGCAGGCGGUUUCUUAAGUCUGAUGUGAAAGCCCCCGGCUCAACCGGGGAGGGUCAUUGGAAACUGGGGAACUUGAGUGCAGAAGAGGAGAGUGGAAUUCCACGUGUAGCGGUGAAAUGCGUAGAGAUGUGGAGGAACACCAGUGGCGAAGGCGACUCUCUGGUCUGUAACUGACGCUGAGGAGCGAAAGCGUGGGGAGCGAACAGGAUUAGAUACCCUGGUAGUCCACGCCGUAAACGAUGAGUGCUAAGUGUUAGGGGGUUUCCGCCCCUUAGUGCUGCAGCUAACGCAUUAAGCACUCCGCCUGGGGAGUACGGUCGCAAGACUGAAACUCAAAGGAAUUGACGGGGGCCCGCACAAGCGGUGGAGCAUGUGGUUUAAUUCGAAGCAACGCGAAGAACCUUACCAGGUCUUGACAUCCUCUGACAAUCCUAGAGAUAGGACGUCCCCUUCGGGGGCAGAGUGACAGGUGGUGCAUGGUUGUCGUCAGCUCGUGUCGUGAGAUGUUGGGUUAAGUCCCGCAACGAGCGCAACCCUUGAUCUUAGUUGCCAGCAUUCAGUUGGGCACUCUAAGGUGACUGCCGGUGACAAACCGGAGGAAGGUGGGGAUGACGUCAAAUCAUCAUGCCCCUUAUGACCUGGGCUACACACGUGCUACAAUGGACAGAACAAAGGGCAGCGAAACCGCGAGGUUAAGCCAAUCCCACAAAUCUGUUCUCAGUUCGGAUCGCAGUCUGGCACUCGACUGCGUGAAGCUGGAAUCGCUAGUAAUCGCGGAUCAGCAUGCCGCG